rnacentral:rRNA from 1 species
AUUAGAUACCCUGGUAGUCCACGCAGUAAACGAUGAGCGCUAACUGUCCGGGCCAAGCGAGGCCUGGGUGGUACAGUGAAAACGUUAAGCGCUCCACCUGGGGAGUACGCCGGCAACGGUGAAACUCAAAGGAAUUGACGGGGGCCCGCACAAGCGGAGGAACGUGUGGUUUAAUUCGAUGAUACGCGAGGAACCUUACCCGGGCUCAAACGUAGGAGGAAUAACGGUGAAAGCCGUUAGCUAUUUAUAGCCGCUUACGAGGUGCUGCAUGGUUGUCGUCAGCUCGUGCCGUGAGGUGUCGGCUUAAGUGCCAUAACGAGCGCAACCCCCAUCGCCAGUUGCUAACAAGUAACGUUGAGGACUCUGGCGAGACUGCCGGCGCAAGCUGCGAGGAAGGCGGGGAUGACGUCAAAUCAGCACGGCCCUUACGUCCGGGGCGACACACGUGUUACAAUGGCGACUACAGCGGGAAGCCACUUGGCGACAAGGAGCGGAACCCGAAAAGUCGUCUCAGUUCGGAUUGGAGUCUGCAACUCGACUCCAUGAAGCUGGAAUCGCUAGUAAUCGCGAAUCAGAAUGUCGCGGUGAAUACGUUCCCGGGUCUUGUACACACCGCCCGUCACACCAUGGGAGUCAGAAAUGCCCGAAGUCAGUGACCCAACCGAGAGGAGGGAGCUGCCGAAGGUGGAGCUGGUAACUGGGGUGAAGUCGUAACAAGGUACC